UACAGAGGUCUCAAGCGUUGUUCGGAUUCAUUGGGCGUAAAGGGUGCGUAGGUGGCAGGGUAAGUCGGAUGUGAAAUCCCGGGGCUCAACCUCGGAACUGCAUUCGAUACUGCUUUGCUUGAGUACUGGAGAGGAGAUUGGAAUUUACGGUGUAGCAGUGAAAUGCGUAGAUAUCGUAAGGAAGACCAGUGGCGAAGGCGGAUCUCUGGAACAGUACUGAC
rnacentral:rRNA from 1 species